UACAGAGAGUGCGAGCGUUAAUCGGAAUUACUGGGCGUAAAGGGCACGUAGGUUGAUAUUUAAGUCGAAUGUGAAAGCCCUGGGCUUAACCUAGGAAUGGCAUUCGAUACUGGAUAUCUAGAGUAUGGUAGAGGAAAGUGGAAUUUCCGGUGUAGCGGUGAAAUGCGUAGAGAUCGGAAAGAACACCAGUGGCGAAGGCGGCUUUCUAGACCAAUACUGACACUGAGGUGCGAAAGCAUGGGGAGCAAAC
rnacentral:rRNA from 1 species